CAUGAGGAUAUACUUCAUUUAUUCAUCAAUCUCAUUCUCAUACUUUACAAACUCUUAUAACCAAUUACAGUUUCACCUAUCAUUGCUAUGCAGUAGAUACAUGAAUAUGCUAGACAUAUAUGUAAGCAUACAAUCAUCAUUAUUUUUUUUUUCCCACUCCAUAAUGUCUCCUACACUAUACAUCAUUAAUCUCCACCAACUCCACCUCACCAAACUUUCCACCUCACGCCACCACCUUUUUCUUUCCUCCACUACAUUUUACUCCACCACCACUUGCUCCCCACCCAACAAAUGCAAUAUUCACUCUCAUUUCAUUUUCAUCCAAAAGUUCAGAGGAUCAAUUCCAGUUCGUUUCAGCCGAAGCUUUCAAGGUAAUGCUUGGCUUCAAUGCUUUCUUCUCCUUUGAUUAAGUUCAUCCUGCAAUUGUUAAGCAAAUAAGCAAUUUAUUUCAGUUUCUAUCCACUGAUUCAAUCAACAACAACAGCCAUCAACAACAAACAAUCAAGGUCAAGCGCGAGAGUAAGAACUACUCAAGGAGUCAAAAUACCUUAGCAAAACUUUGCUAUCAGGUUGAGCUGUGAUGGGCGAUGAAGUGUUGUUGCUGAGUAGAGCUUUUGUCGAACUUAAAGUAGGCUCAGAAAGGAUACAUGUCUUCAUACAUGUAUCUCAGUUAUGCUUUCCGCUGUAAACACUGAUUAUUUCAGUUACACCUUCCGUUGCAAACUCUGAUAAUGUUUUAGCCAAGCCCCUAACGAUGCCUUUUUCCUUUUAAGGAAUAUAACGCUUAUACAAGUUCGUUGAGUACCCUUUUUAUGCGAACUAUGCCUUUUUCCUUUUUAAGGAAUA